rnacentral:lncRNA from 1 species
GGGAAGGGAGGAGUGGAAGCUGGUUUGCUGGGGCCACCCAGGGUGGGCUCAGGAAGGGAAGGAAUGUACUGAGGUUGGGUGGGGCUAAGGAGAGCACAGCCAGUUGUGGGUUUUUCUUGGGGCCCAGAAAGAUGUGAAUGGUUACGGAAGCCCCUCUCUCGAGCCCCAGCAUACACACACUAGUAUCUUUCUUCG